CCCUUAGAUGUUUUGGGCCGCACACGCGCUACACUGGCAGGUUCAUCGAGCUUCAUGCCCUGAUCUGAGAAGAACGGGAAAUCUUUGAACACCUGCCGUGCUUGGGAUAGAUGUUUGCAAUUAUUCAUCUUCAACGAGGAUUGCCUUGUAAGCGCACGUCAUCAGCGUGCAUUGAAUACGACCCUGUAUUCUGUACACACCGCCCGUCGCUCCUACCGAUUGAAGUUUUCGGUGAAUUUACUGGAGAUCCCUUUUGAAGGUGGUUCGCCACUGGAAGAAGUAUUCAAAAGUAAAUGAAUCGAAUGCUUUAGAGGAAGGAGAAGUCGUAACA
rnacentral:rRNA from 1 species